GAUGAAGAACGUAGCGAAAUGCGAUAAGUGAUGUGAAUUGCAGAAUUCAGUGAAUCAUCGAAUCUUUGAACGCACAUUGCGCCCGCCAGCAUUCUGGCGGGCAUGCCUGUUCGAGCGUCAUUUCAACCCUCAAGCUCUGCUUGGUGUUGGGGCCCUACGGUUGACGUAGGCCCUUAAAGGUAGUGGCGGACCCUCUCGGAGCCUCCUUUGCGUAGUAACUAACGUCUCGCAUUGGGAUUCGGAGGGACUCUUGCCGUAAAACCCCCAAAUUUUCUAAUGGUUGACCUCGGAUCAGGUAGGAAUACCCGCUGAACUUAAGCAUAUCAAUAAGCGGAGGA
rnacentral:misc_RNA from 1 species